GUUGCUUUGUAUUUGCUCUAGUAGUUAAAAAUAAAAGGGAAAAAUAUCUGUCUCCUAUCUGCAGAUCUUACAGUAGAAAAAUACUACAGUGGAAAAAUAUGUCAUAAUAGCUUACAUCUGCUAGGAGAGCUUGAUGAAACAAUCUCUUAGGAAGUGGCAAAACAGCUUUGGAAAUACUUGUGCAUGCUUUGAAUGAACUAGGACUGUAUAACUUUUAAAAAUUUAUUUGCACAUUGUUAUGUCCUUACACAUGCAACAAAAAUGCACAGAAAUUAUUAUUUUUAUAUGCAGGCUUAACUGAAAGACAUCAUAUAAUAUGUCAUGAACACAGUGUAUAGCCGUGAGCUUAACUAAAAAACCUACAGGAAAAAAACAGUGUGCACAACCAAAAGUAUUGUGAAACUUUUGGCGGGAAAAUGGCACAUAAAUAUCUAUAUGGAUGACCUUUUGUUCCUUAGGAAUUUACCAGUGAUUCCAAUAGAGAUGUUGCAUGGACCGUGAGGAUAUGGGAAUGCUGAUUAAAAAUGCUAUACUUUGACAUCUGAACAAUAACUUAUCAUCAGAGUCAUCAGUGAUUCGCAUUGUAGGAAGAACUUUACUACAAACAAAAACGUGGGGGCAGGCACUAUGCACGUCAUUAUCAUAAUGGAGCACUUGACAAAAACACAUGCAUUGAUGCUGAUUUUAUGCCUGCAUCUUUGCUGUGCACUACAAAAUGGAAAGUGCAACUUUACAGUGGCAAUGGUGCAUACUGCUGGAAAAGUCACUUGCUUCAAGAUGAUGGAUGGACAUGUCCCAAUUUGCAUGUCUGGUGGUCAAACAUCCCAAUCAUGUGACAUUGCGUACAAAGAUGGGAUGACGUGUAUAAAGUGGCCAGCAGACAUCGAACUCACAUGUGUGAACGAUUCUGAUGAGAUGCAUAAGCUCAAUAUUGAAGAAAACAAGUGUGCCCAUGACCAAGAAUCUAUUAGUUGCAAUGGAGAGUACAAAUCUGGUAAGUUUAUUUAAUCAAAGUUUUUUUGAUUAAUUUAAGCUCAUGUUUUUUAAACAAACAAAUUGCAUGACUGCACCCUGAAGUCAAUUGAUUGUUUUUUCCCCCAGAGCUUAGAAAUUCUGCAUCAACCCUGUCAUUGAGUAAGAAUGCAAAACAAUUAUAUGCUACAAGUUUGCAUCCAUCAUAAAAGAAUUCCACAUGUUCAUAUAUUGUGUGUAAACUAUUGAUCCUUUUGUUUUUUGCAGGCAUUCUUCUAAUUACUACCAUUGUCCACUGGGUGUCACUAUGGCACUACUAAUAGUGUAUAGUUCUGAGACACAUUACUCAAACUUAAAAAUAAUAAUAACAAUAAUAAUGUGUUCGAAUAAACCAUUUUUAUAUAUAUAAAAAAACA
ensembl:lncRNA